rnacentral:lncRNA from 1 species
AAGUCUUUCUCCAUCAUUUCUGCUUCUCAAAUUUUUGUAGUUGUCCAUUACUAUGGGCUUUCAGUACAUUCUCCACUUACCUCAGAUUAUUUCACUCCCAUAACAUCUGUGCUUGUUUUACUUAUAUUACUGGCCCAGACCCUGAAGACAUUAACUCUGUAACCUCUGUUCUAACCUUUGGAAUUUACCACCCGUUGGCUCCACUUCUCUCUUCAUACAUUUAUCAGAGUCCAGAGAAUUGAACCAGUAAUUAAAGAAAGAGAUAAAAGAUGGAGAUCAAGGAAGAGGAAAAACAAAGAUCAAGUGUUGCAAGAUAACUGACACUUUGAAUCACUGCGAACGCUCUACCUUUAUUGAGGAAUUGGACCAUCUUUGAAGCCACUGCUUUGCUUAUUGUGAUAAUGCGUGGUUAAGUAAAUCGAUAGGGCAGGCUUUCCCCACAUUGCCAAGAGGUGGAAACAGGAUCAGAGGCAUUUGUGGACUUUCCUCAGGCACUGAAGCAAGUUUGGCAAACAUUGCAGCCUGUAAGCCCUGUGGGAGACUCACGAUGCCCAAGAGCAUAGCCAGGGUCCGGAGAAGGCUUGCAUGAAAGAAACCAGUUCUUUGCAUAGCCAUGUCUCACUUUUCUUCGAGCAGCACCUGAUGAUUAUCCCCGGGGCUUGGAUUUUACGUCGAAUUCUCCUUAUGCUGAAGUCAAGUCUGUUCAUUCAUAGCAUCCUCCAUCACUGGGGCUCUUUGCUGUUUGUUGGGUCUCUCCCUUAAUAGGGUUUGAUCUCCACAAGAGCAGGGACUUUGUUUAACUGAGAACAGUGCUUGCACCCAGUGGACAGUCAAUAUUUGUUGAACAGAAGCAUCAGUGAGUGGCCUGGGUGCCAGAGAAGGCAGCAGUGUGGACCGUAUCUUUACCUGUGCCGCCCCCCCUGCUAGGAACGCCUCCCCUGUCCUCUGCUCCCCUAUUCCACGCCUAUCGCUUCUCUCCAGUCUCUGACUCACCCCGUCUAAGGAGUCUUCUUGGCUACCCACCACCUGCCACCGUCCAUCCUGGGCCACACUCCCUUGGACACCUGUUCCUACUUCAUCAGACCUUGCUUACUUGGCUUUCUUCUCUGGGUAAAUUAAGGAGAGCAGGUUCAAUUCAGGGAGCAGCCUGAAGGCUGAACUGUGAUGACCGAUUGGACCCAUCUGGGAUGGAUGCUGAAGAUAGAGACAAUCACAGGCCCUGAGCUCAGGGGCCCCCUGUCCAGUGGGGGUCAUCUCCCACUGGGUCCCCAGAGCCAACUGUUCAAUUUUCAGGGUUUUUUCAAGCCAGUUGCCAAACAUGGCCCUUUGCUAAAUCAGGGUUGAACUGCAACUGUAGGCUUGCUACAGAUACAAGGGUUUGGCAACAAUCCAGAAAAGCAUUCUCUGGGAAUCAAUUGGCUAUACAGAAUUGACA